UUUUUGCGACGGAAAUCUUCGCGGCAAUAUUAAAAAACACGACGGCUGAAAUUUCAUUUGAACACAGCGGCAUUUCAGGUUUUGAACCCUCCCUUUCACCUUCUCUCUCUCGCGCUCCCUCUCGCACGGCGUCCAUUUCCCUGCAGGUACUUCUCUCUCUCUCUCUCUCUCUCUCUCUCUCUCUCCACUACAGAUUUCUUGUGGGUUUGGUGCUGUGCGCUAAAGCGUUCGUUCCUGGAUUUCUAAGUUGCGGAACGGUGGUAAGGCUCUCCUCCUUCUCUGCUCUUACGAAUACACACACAUUCACUCCAAGUUAUUUUCCACUCCCAUGAAAUUUCUGUGAAGUGAGUUUCAAAUGUACAGUCCGUGGUCGCUGCCGAGUUUACCCACAUUGUGAGUUCUCUUCAUCUCUCUCGCUCUCAUUCUUUUCCUCUGUAUUUUCCCCUUUCACAGUCUCUGUUUUCCCUCUUUAUACCUCACGAAUCUAUUUUUACAGAGCCAUCUCUACCUACCCGUUGUUGGCCCUGCGAUUUUAUUGUUGCCGUGAACAAACCUCUCUCUCAUUGGCAGUGCUCUGUCGUUUUUCCCCUCAUUUUCUCUUUAAAUUCUCAGAUUUAUCUUUUAUUUUCAUUGGCUGAUUUUCUUGUGAGGCACAAAAUUUUUAAAUGUGUCAUUGCCGCUAGAGUAAGACGCAGAAAAUUCUUAAACUAAGAUUUGCAUUUUUUUUAGUGUCACAGGGUAGCCCAUACGUUCUACUGUUGGCUCUUGUUGGUCGCCUUGGAACUCAUUUGAAGGUAAUGAAAUAUGUUCAUGCACUGCCCUGAAGAUUGUGUGUGGACAACUUUUGGUAAUCACGCAGUUUGGUUAUAAUGUGAUAUUUACUGUAAUUUUUCAUGUCAUUUCUGGGAUACUGCAGGAAUGAGCGUGUAGGUUUCUCGGGUCAAGCUCUAAUUUGAUAGCGAUAAGCUGUCAUUUUUAUGUAUUUUCAACCUCUAUUUUUAUGCAUUUUGAGCUAAUUUAAGUGAUCACAAUCAAUUGCUUUGUUGAAUAUAUUGCAAAGAUUUGCUACUGAUUUCCUGUUGGAUUCAUCAUUUGCUACUUGCCACUGAUACUUUGAUCCCUUCUGAAGAUGUCAGGCAGAAUCACUUAAAAUGGACAUAACCUUAACGAAUUUGUUCCUAGGAGGACAUCUGCUUACGUGAGCCAACAGGAUGGCCAUGUUGCAGAAUUGACUGUAAGGGAAACUCGUGAACUUGCAGGUCGCUGUCAAGGGGUUGAGGAAUGGUUUUCUUGGGUAUGUGUAUGAUGAUGCUUUUAGAUGCUGACAUAAUGAAUACUUCUGCUCAGACAUGCCAGGUGAACUUGCAAGAAGGGAAAAGAUUGCUGGGAUAAAACCUGAUGAAGAUCUUGAUAUAUUCAUGAAGGUACUGCACUUGUUAGUCAUUAGCUCUGGGGGGGAAGGACACAAGCCUUGUUGUGGAGUACAUCAUGAAGGCUUCCACUAAAUAAGUGGAUCCAAGAAGUGAGAUAUCUAUUUGAAAUGAGAUUUUAGGGCUGGACAUCUGUGUUGACACAUUGGUGGGGAAUUAAAUGCUCAAGGAUAUUUCUGGGGGACAAAAGAAGCAGCUUACAACAGGUGAAUUGCUGGUUGGUCCAGCAGGAGUGCUAUACAUGGAUGAAAUAUCAACAGGGCUUGAUAGUUCUACUACCUAUCAGAUCAUCAAAUAUCUCAAGCAUUCAACUUGUGCACUUGAAGCCACCACUGUUGAAGCAGCUAAAUAGCGUUUAUAUGGACAAGCUCCAGAAUAGGCACUUGCUGGACACAAGACAAAGCAGUUUGGGAUGGGCCUCGAGACAAGGUUUUGGUUUUCGCUUACUUAAGUAGUUGUCAGUUUUUUUAGUUUAGUACUAAAAAGUGCACCCUAUUUUCCUUUAGUCCUUUCUCCAAAAUUCAUUUGAUGUUUGCUUAUUUUUGGACUUUUAGCUAUUGCAUGAUCAUUAAAAUUUCUAUUAUAUAGGAGGAAGUAUGGGUGGCAGAGAAUGAGAUUUGGUUUUUGAUUUUGAUGUACGUGUAGCUAAAUUAAUUGAUGAAAACUAUAUGUAUCUUUAGAUAGGGUUUAAGUUGGCUCUAGGUCAUUAUGGGUUGCAAUGCUGAUAUUUGUGAUGCUACAUAAUUCAUGUGUAUGUCGAAUGGGUUUUCCCUCUUGCAUUUUAGUACAAGUCUAUGGCAGUGUGUUAGUUAUAGUAUAAGGCGUAUGGUCGUAUGUUUAUUCCUUAGGACUGGUAUAUAAAGGAUUCACAAAGGGCAAUAAUAGUUUGGAGUUUAAUGUUGUCAGGUUUAUUGCACUAACUCAUGAGCACACAUCCUACUAGGUGGUUGUUUAUCAAGCUACUAUAUAUAUUGGUUGCUGCCUUUUGGUUGAUCCAUGGCUGGACCAAAAUGUAUGUGUGAGGAUGUCUUGUACUGGAUGAAGGUUCAGGGAUAUUGAACCUGGAUGCAUGUUAGAGAUGACUCUGUUUCAUUGGGCAGUUUUUUGUUGGGAUACAAUUCAACAUGAACAAUUUCAUGGUGGUAGAUAAACUCUAAAGUGGAUCACUGCCGUGUGUGUGAAAUUACUUGAUCCUGUCUCACCUGGCCCUGCCAAGGCAGUGGAUGUUGUUGACUAUAAGUGUUAUGGACCAUUUUGGAUUCAGUUGAUUAUGUUAAUAUUGUAUUAGAUUUAGAAUUUGCUAAAACCUGAGAUUUAAGUUUGUAAGGUUCAAGGAUUUGGAAUGUAAAAGUUAAAAAUCUUUGAUCAAUUCCUGGAAAACUGAUCAAUGAUUUUUAACAGUUUAUGAAUGAAUGUUCACAUGGUUCUCACUUGGAA